rnacentral:rRNA from 1 species
UACGUAGGUGACAAGCGUUGUCCGGAUUUACUGGGCGUAAAGAGCGCGCAGGCGGUCGUUCAAGUCGAGUGUGAAAGCCCCCGGCUCAACUGGGGAGGGUCAUUCGAUACUGAUCGACUCGAAGGCAGGAGAGGGUAGUGGAAUUCCCGGUGUAGUGGUGAAAUGCGUAGAUAUCGGGAGGAACACCAGUGGCGAAGGCGGCUUACUGGUCCAUAACUGACGCUGAGGUGCGAAAGCGUGGGGAGCAAACAGGG